rnacentral:tRNA from 1 species
CCCCUGGUAGCUCAAACAGUAAAGAAUCUGCCUGCAAUGCAGGAGACCCAGGUUUGAUCCCUGGCCGGGAAA